rnacentral:rRNA from 1 species
GACGAACGCUGGCGGCGUGCUUAACACAUGCAAGUCGAACGGAAAGGCCCUGCUUUUGUGGUGUGCUCGAGUGGCGAACGGGUGAGUAACACGUGAGUAACCUGCCCCUGACUUUGGGAUAACUUCAGGAAACUGGGGCUAAUACCGGAUAGGAGCUCCUGCUGCAUGGUGGGGGUUGGAAAUUUUCGUCGGGUGGGGAUGGACUCGCGGCUUAUCAGCUUGUUGGGGGGGUAGCGGCUUACCAAGGCUUUGGCGGGUGGCCGGCCUGGGAGGGUGACCGGCCACAUGGGGACUGAGAUACGGCCAAGACUCCUCCGGGAGGAAGAAGUGGGGAAUAUUGCACAAUGGGCGGAAGCCUGAGGAAGCAACGCCGGGUGCGGGAUGACGGCCUUGGGGUUGUAAACCGCUUUCGCCUGUGACGAGGCGUGAGUGACGGUAAUGGGUAAAGAAGCACCGGCUAACUACGUG